UCCAUUGUCGUCCAGCGGUUAGGAUAUCUGGCUUUCACCCAGGAGACUCGGGUUCAAUUCCCGGCAACAGAA
rnacentral:tRNA from 1 species